UUUUGAUUAUAAUUUAAAGUCUAACCUGCCCUAUGAUUUAUUAUUAAAUGGCCGCGAUAUUUUGAUCGUGCAAAGGUAGCAUAAUAAUUAGUUUUUUAAUUGAGAACUGGUAUGAAUGGUUGAACGAGAAAAAAACUGUCUCAAUUUAAUUUAAAUUAAAAUUUUAUUUUUAAGUUAAAAAGCUUAAAUAUUUUUAAAAGACGAGAAGACCCUAUAGAGUUUUAUAUAAAUUUAUUAUUUUAAAAAAUUUAAGAAUUUUAAAUUUAAUUAUAAUAAUUUAUAUUUGAUUGGGGUGAUUAAAAAAUUUAAGGAACUUUUUUUAAAUUUAAACAUAAAUUUAUGAAUAGAUGAUCC
rnacentral:rRNA from 1 species